rnacentral:lncRNA from 1 species
CACAAUCUUCAUGACAAAAUUAAAAAAUGUGUCGCCUUAAAUAACUUUAUUGCCACAACAUUUUACAUGUCGUGAAAUCAAGAUUUUGUUGUAGUGUAUGUACUAUCACACCGGCUGGCAAUUGCUCGACUAUCAUAGUCUCUGGUGUAACUGUCGGGAGUAUUUCAUUCGAAUUCGAGGGCAAGGAGUUACUGCAAUCACUGGCUGUAAUUCCUUUCAGUUGCAUUGCAGUACAGGAAGUAUUUUCACCCUCACCAUUUUAAAACUCAAUUUCCCCAUCUCCUUUGAACCAAAUCGACUCUAAGACAACCACAUUUCUUUUCUCAUUCAUCAUAUAUUAUUUAUGGAUUUAUUCAAAGGGAAAAUCAACAUCAAAUUCAGACCAUAGCUCACAAAGAUAUGAUUUUUAUGAAAUUUCAAAUUUUUGCAUACCUUUGAACUUUCAAUUAAAAGUUGUGGAUUUGAUUGUUGAUGAGGAGAUUAGAUUAGGUAGUUGUUGGGUUUCGUUGGUAGAUUAUUAUGAUUUAUUUUUUAUUUUUUGGCUGGAAUUCAUUCACUCAAUGCGUUUUAUCCCCAGCAUUUUUUCCCGCUCAUAAGAUAUUCGAUAAAAUGCCUUAACGGUGAUAUUUGGACCCCAUUUUCAUACGACUCACAUAUCAUCCCCUACAUUAUAUCCACGAGCGUACACAUUUGCAUUAUAUUCACAACGUUAUGUUCACGCAAAGCAUGUAGUUUCUGUUCCCUAUUUUCAACUCCUAUUUCCAUCCACCUCAUUGCACUCAUUAUUGAUCCAUUUGAGGUGUCUUGUGCUCCAAUUGUGCAUCUUAUCAUAUCCUUUGUGUACCUAUAAUAUUCAUGAUUUUCAUCUAAAAUUGAAGGUUACGAUGACAUUCAAAUGCAAACACCAAAAGCAACGGAAAAUAUGAAUGGAAAAGCUCAACUUUUGCCUACACCGACACACCCCUAAGUGAGUCUUUGCGGAUCUCUUUUGUUAUUCUUAUUGAGAUAUGAUUUAUAAUUGCAUAUUUUGAUAUAUAGUUUAAGUAUGGGAGUGGUUGUAUCAAAAUAAUAUACAUAUAUGAUGAUCGAUAUUGUGAGAGAUUUGAUUGCCGUGUUUGGUUGCAUGUCACUACUUCCGUAUACGUAAAAGAUUCAAAAAUAAUUUAUUGCUUUAUGUGUUCUUGUGAGUUGGAUGGCUUUGCUGACUAAUAAUGAUAUUAUUAGAAUUGCUAAGUUUCACGAAUUGUUUACCAGGUAGACUUGGAUUAUUUUGAAGGUUAUUCUUGUUAGAUUUUAAUAUAUUUUGAGCAUGAUAUUAGAAAGAAGCAGUUUAUUAUUGAUUCUAUCAAUAACGUAGCGAUAAAGCUGUCUACAGGUGAACUGAAAAAUAGAAAUAUCUAACGAAAUUUGAGGGAAAAAUAGUUAUGCUGAAAAAAUAAAAAAUAAAAAAUUGCAUUCAUAUUUGUCUACAUGCUCAUAUUAGCAGCUGCAGAGUAAAAUGCUGCAAUUCCUGGCUAAGCUUUAGACACUUAAAUGAAGGAUUUGAAUUUUUAAUGAUGGUAAGCCUUGGUGAAGUUCGAAGGUUGAGCUACUUAAAUUGAAGAAGAAUAAUAAUCAUAAAUCGAGAUAGUGACUUCCAUUGGUUAGAUCCAGACAGACUUUUACUAGAAAGGAAUGAGUAAUGAUAAUUUAUCUUUUAAAAUGAAUAACAUUUAAGUAAAAAGAACAAAUUUGGGCAUGCAUCUUACUGGAGUUUAUAGAUUGAAUUGACUAUACACACACAUCGAUCUAAUAUUGGAUGAGUGAAGGAAUUGAUCACGAUAGCAUAUCUUGGAAGCUGUGUAUUAACUGUUCAAGGAUUUCAAAAUAUGAGGCAAAACGAAAAGCAAUCUAACUAGGCAAAACGAAAAGCAAUCUAACUAUGUUAUUUAUAUUUUGUUUGUGUGUGUGCACUGAGUAGCUAAUUUUGUUUUGGUCAAAUAAAUGAUCAAGUUUGGAGGUAUUUCAUAAGUAUGAUAUCUACACUCAUUCCAAAACAUCAAAAGUGGAUUACUGUGAUCCAACUUGAUGAUAUUAUUACUUAAUUUGAUUAAAUAUAGAUUGUUAUAGGAUAAAUUCAAGUUUGGACAACUAUUCAUGACAAAGUGGAAAUUGGCCAAAGAAAGGUGAAAAAUGAAGAAUUGUCAAGUUUAAGGUCUAAAUUACAAAUCUCUAGAAAUUGAUUUAGAUUAAGAGUGGAUAACUGAAUAUUACAUGGAUUAAAUUGGAUGAAUUGGAAUUUGAAGGAUUUGAAACAAUUACAGAAGAGGACCGAAGAUGAAAGGUGUAGAAGUUAGGGACCAAGAUGAACUAAAGUGGAAAUUAUAUACCAAUUUUUUUUUAACUAUAUUUUUAUUCUCCAACAUUUCAAUUAGAGUGCAUUUGAUUGGCUUUAUUUUUGAUAAUAUAUAUAUAUCAUUUUUUUCAUCUAAAUUCCUACUUUUGUUAUAUUUGAUAAACAAUUUUUUUCAUAAAAAAUAUUUUCCAACUUUUGGUCAGGUGACCAUAUUUUCUUCAAAAACAAGGAAAAUAUUUUCUUUAGCGAGGGGUGAUUUCUAUUUUCCUGGUAAUUUACUAUCUCUUUCUCUCUUACCUAACCAUUCCCUCUCAUCUUACCCACCAAUAAAAAAUAAAUAAGUAUAAUAUUUUUAGGUUGAAAACUAAAUCAAUCAAGCAUAUUUAAUUACAGAUUUUCAUACAAAUAAGUUCUAUAAAAUUGAAUUGUCUAAAAUUUAUUUUCUUCCUAUGCAAAUUUCAUACUUGUAAUCAAACGUAUCCUUACUAUUUCAUUUUUAUCUAAAAAAAUGGUGUGUUUAGCCUAUUGUUUUCAAUUUUGCAAAUGAUGAUGCUACACGCACAUGAGGGUUUUACACACUCAAAACAUGUUCUCAUAUUUUCCAAAACAAGGUUAAAUUAUGAAAUUCAAAAUACAUUUUUUAUGUUUUCAGUUACAACUUAAAAAAUACUCAAAACAUGGAAAACAUGCAUUGAAAUAAAUUUUUAUUUAAAUAAAAUUCAGAUAAUUAAAAAUUCUUAAAAAAAAAAAUCAAAGAAAUGAAAUUCAAAAAUAAUAAAUAUUUGACAAAAUUCUAAAAAUAAUGUUUUGAAAAAAUAAAUUCUAAAAUUCUAAAAAUUCUAGAAAAAUAAAUAAUAAAGAAUAGUUAAUCUCUUGAUGAUUAUUUACAUAAAAAAUUGUUAGCUUCAUAUGAUUAGAAUGGGUGAUGGCCCAAAACAUAGUUUGGUUUCCAUGUGUUAAGCAUAUGACCAAUAACUUCAUAACGCUAGCUACUGCGUAUUACUAAAAGUGGAAGUCGACUUUGCUACAUCUUCUACUACCACACAAUCAUCCCCGAUUAGUUAUAUUCAUGUUCUUCAACUGGUAAUAAUAUGCAAUGAUAGAGAUGGAGUAAUCCUUGUUAAAUAGAGGUUGAACAUUUUAUUUUAUUUUUUUGUUUCUGUAUUCUUGAUAAACCAACAUUUAUAUAUUACACAUGGAUAGGCUCUAAUAAAAUUUGCGUGCGAGACAGGUUACCUAAUUAAUUUUCAGGUUAAAAAAUUACCUGUAUUCUCAACGAUUUGUCAUGUUGAAAAAUUACUCUAACUUAAAAUGAAUAGGAAACCCAUUUUUAGCUACAAGAUAUAUAACAUAAAAAUUUAUAUGAAUUGAUUGCUUUUAACUUAUUCAUUGAUUUUUUUUUUUUAUUAGAAUGUAGAAAUUAAAAUUUUUAUUUAUUUUUAGACUGUUGGAAGAGUGAAAUGAAGUAUUUUAUAAUUUUUCCAAUAUUUUAUUGACUUACUAAAAUUAUUUUUUAUUAAUUUGAUAUUAUAGUUUUGGAAAAGAAAGAUAAUAAAUUUUAUAAAUCUGAUACAUUAAAACAUUCUUUAAACAAAAAUAUUUAAUAAAAAAACAAUAAUUACAAAUAUAAUAUGCAACAUUUUAUGUAACAUUAUAUAUAGGAUGUGAUUUAUUAUUAUAGUUAAGGUUGUUUUUGUUUGUUCAGCUAUUUAUAAUCGGAUAUUUGUAAAUUUUUCCGCAAAAGGCAUUUCUUGUAACCAACAUGCAAAAUGUAGUCUGUAAAAUGUAAAUUUAUAAAAUACAGUAUAUAAAGUAUAAUUACACCCUAUAAAUAUGGCGUAUUUUGUAAAUUUCCCUUCAAAUAAUCUCAUUGCAAUAGAAAAUACUAAUCAAUUUAGGAUAUAGAAAUAUAAUUAUGUUCUAAUUACCAAGUCAAAAUUUCAACAAUUUUUUACAUUGACUUUUAAUUGUACAAUGAUCUUCCAUGUCUCCUUCCAAUUGAAUAAUAUUCCCAUAAUACAGUCCCGUUUCCCCUAUUAUCUUGGUCAUACAACUUGGAAAAUUUUAAAGAACCUUUUCUUUAACUAACACAAUUCUCAAAAUAGAGAAUCAACAUAAUUCAUCAUAAAGGAUAUACAUACUUAAAACCACCAAGUUCUAAGAAUUUCAAUUCGGUGUAUGUUGAACAAACUUGCUGAAAAUUUACUGUGCAAUUCCCAUGUUUGGCUUUUCGGGAAGUUCAUCAACCAUAUAUAUAGCCUCCGUUUGGCCUUUAUUAAUUUUCAUUCUAUUACAUUUCAUUUUUCUCUCUCCUAUUUUCAACCACAAAAUCUUCCAUAAAAUAAUAUUACACAUAAAUCGAAAACUUCUCAUUCUUUUUCAACAACUUAUUUUUCAAACAAACACUAUUCCACCCAUUUUUAUUACCACAAAAUGGGGGUCAAACAGGGGCAUAAAGUAUAGUGGUCAUAUCCAACCUAGACAUUGACCAAGACAAUAUAGCGAAUUAAUGGUUCAACCAAGGAAUCGAUUCUACUCAAAUAUUUUAUUAUUUUGACAUUUUUUUAUUACUAAGAGUGCGUUUGAUUGUCAAUAUUUUUCAAGGAAAAUGUCAUUUUCACCCAAAUUUUUACAUUUGUGUUAUUUGAUCGAUAUAUUUUUAUGAAAAAUAUUUUCCUACUUUUGAUCACAUGAUUAUAUUUUCGUUAAAAAGAAUAAAAAUAUUUUCAUUAUGAGAGUAUGUAUUUAUUUUCCAAGUAAUUCACCCUCUCUCAUCUAUCCACUCUCUCCCAUCUAGCUACCAAUAAAAAUUGGAUAAGUAUAAUAUUUUUUAGGUUAAAAAUAAAAUUAAUCAAAAAUAUUUAAUUGACAAAAUUUAUGCAAAUAAUUUCUAAGUAAUUCAAUGGCUUAAAAUUCAUUUUCUUUCCAUGUAAAUUUCACUCUCGCAAUCAAAAACUGCCCUAAUUAAAUUAACUUCAUGUUAUUUUGGUGAUUAAAGAUCAAUCGGUAGCCAAAUUCCAAAAAUUCUAAAUCAUAUAGUGAAUUAUGCAUUUUAAACCAUAAAACAACAACCAAUUAUAAAAAACUACUUUAUUUCACAAAGUUCAACAAGAUAGCUUCAUAUACUAUAAGAAUAUGCUUGCAAAAAUAAAACAAUCAUUUAAUAGUUAUUUGUGGAUAAAGCACAGGUUAACAAAGUAAAUUAUUUGAAUAAUUCAAUAUUCUCUCAAUUAAGAAAAGUAACAACGCAUACCAUAAAUUCUUCAAUUCCUUCGCCUUGUACUCAUGAUGGAGUCUUGGUCAUACUAAAAUUCUCAUUUCCAUUUUAUCACUUCUAUUUUCAUUGCCAUUGCCAUUGCCAUUGCCAUCACUUCCAUCACCAUCAAAAUCAAGAUCAUCAAAAUGUAAUUUAUCUGGAAAAAUUUUUAAAAUUCAACGUUACAUCAUACAUAUACUUUAAUUAAAAGAAGAAACAAUAACAUUAAUCAAACAAUUAUCAUCAUUUUUAGCUUUUGUAUAGUACACUAAAUCACGACAAAAUGUUUCCUACUUGUAUCAUCUAUCAAUUGAUGGCUUCUCCUCUAACACCCAAUUGCCAUAAAUGCCAAACCUUUCAAAGUCUAUAUGAUCAUAAUUUCGACUCUUAAAGUAAUUCUUAAACAACACAAUUUAUAAAUAAUACAAUAUAAUUCUUGUAAAAGAAAACAAAAUCUAAAAAUCAAAUAAAUCAUAAAAUGAUGAAAUUUUAAUCAUUUGGUGCUUGAGUCUAUUUCUCCUUUUUGAGUGGAUAUGGUCAAACAUACUCUAAUUUCCUUCAUUGCUUGAAGAACUAAAUGUUUGACUUAAUAUUCGUGUUGCAAGUGUUUGUAGGUUAGGUACACUAUGAUAACAAAUCCACCAUUCAUCUGUAUAAAAAUAAAAGCAAAAUAAAAUAAAUGUAAGUUAUAUAAACUGAAAAUAGAACUAGAUAAAACAACAAAAAACUGUGGUCUAGUAAGUCAACAAAUUAUACAAGACUUAAAGCUUUUGGUUACACUGCCUAUUCUCAUCAAAGUGAAGGCAAACUUGAACCAAGAUCCAUAAAAUGUUUUUCUAGGUUAUGGAGAGGAAAUCAAAGGUUAUAACUUUGAUUAAAGAGUCAACAUGAUUUCAAAGUCAUAAUUAGUAGGAAUAUCAUUUUUAAUGAAAAUGAUAUGCCUUAUAAACUUGAAUGAUCUCAAUGAUUUGAUUGUGGUGGAGAUUAAAUAAAUCAUGAUGAAGAUGAAUCUAAAAAUGAAGUUGAAUCUCAAAAUCGUGUUCUUGCCGAUUAUCUAACUAGAGAUAGAAUUAGAAGAAAUAGAUUUUCGUCUACUAAAAUUAGCAUUGAUGAUUUUGGGACUUUCUUUUCUACAUUUGACUCCUUAAAUUUUGAACCAGCUACUUUUGAAGAGGAAAGUAUUGAAUCACAUUUUUGGAAAGAAUCCGUGAAAGAUGAGAUGGACUCUUUGAUUAAAAAUAAAACUUGAAUUUUGGUUAACAAACCUAAAAAUCAAAAAGUAGUGGACUAUAAGUGGAUUUUUAAAAUCAAAGAAGGAGAUUCUAGUACAAAGAACAAAAGAUAUAAAACUAGACUUACAGCUAGAGAGUUCUCUCAAAGAAAGGGAAUUGGAUAUAAUGAAAUAUUUCCCUUAUUACAAAAUAUAAUUCAAUCAGGAUUCUGCUUGUGUUGACUACUCAUUUUCACUGGAAACUGGAUCAGUUUGAUGUUAAAACUACCUUUCUAAAUGGUGAUCUUGAUGAGGUUAUUUAUAUGAGUCAACUAAAGGGUUUUAAAGUUAAUCCAAAAUAUGAAAAAGGUAUGUUUGUUAAAAAAGUCUCUUUUUGGCUAAAAGAAGCCCCCAGACAAAAUGGUACAAGAAAUUUAACUUAUAUGUUCAAAAUUUGGAUUUUGUUAAGAGCAAUUUUGGAUAUUGUUUCUUUUACAAAUGAUAGGAGAACCUGAAUUUCUUUACUUGCUAUUAUAUGUUGAUGAUAUAUUGCUAACUUGCCAUGAUAGAUCUGAUAUAAAUUUAAUUAAGUCAAAAUUGAAAUCUGAAUUUGAAAUGAAAAAUCUAGAACAUGCUAAAAGAAUUCUUGGAAUGGAAAUUAAAAGAGUUGGGAACAAUUGUAUUCUUUAUUUGAAUCGAUGCUCUUAUGUGAAAUGAUACUUAAAAGGUUUUCUAUGCUUGAAUGUAAACCUAUUUCACUUCCUAUUGCUAAUCAUUUUAAAUUGUCUAGUGAACAGUCACCUAAAACAUGUGAUGAGUUUGAAAGAAUGAAAAAUGUACCUUAUGCCAUUAUAGGGUCGAUUAUGUAUCUCAUGGUGUGUACUAGAUCUGACGAGGUUCAUGGCACAAGUAUUCUUAAUAGAUUUAUGGCAAACAAAGGUGAAACACACUAUUUAGUUAUUAAGUGGAUGUUAAAAUAUUUGACAAGUUCAUCUGACUUAGGUUUAAAAUUUAAAAAUUCUUAAAGGUUAUACUGAUUCUGAUUUCGCUGAAGAUUUAGAUAAAAGAAGAUUCAAUUCAUCUUAUAUUUUUUACUUUGUGUGAUGGAUGUCUUAGUUGGAAAUCUCAAUUGCAAAAACUUGUAGCCUUAUCUUCUAUAGAGGUAGAAUAUAUUGUUGUCUGUGAUGCUGUUAAAGAAAAAUCUUUGGUUACAAGGAUUGUUAAAUGAAAUUGGAUCAAAAAAUGAAAUGGUUAGAAUUUAUGCUGAUAAUCAGAGUGCAGUUCACCUAAGUAAAAAUUCUAUAUAUCAUGAUGAAACAGAACAUGUUGAUGUAAAGUUUAAUUUUGUGAGAAAAAUUCCUAUUGAAUUUAAUCCAUCUGAUUUUCGAACCAAGGAACUGUAUAAAUUCAAAAACUGCUCGAAAGGUUGUGAAUUUAGAAUUUCAAGCUGUAUUGUUUUAUAUGUUUACUAACUUUUUUCCCCCCUUCUUACAUGUAAAUAAGAGCAAUGAAACAGGCUCCUACUAAAGGGUAUCUAUCAACAACGAGAAGUUUUUGAACUUAAUGUAUGUUUUAAGAAGUUUUGUGCUUAUUCCUGGAUUGAAGCAAGUGCUGUGUUGAUUUAUUUAAUUUAAUAAUGUAUAAAUAAGGGUCCAUUUAUGAAGAUUUAUACAGCCU